CAAAUAAUAGUUUAAAUAAAAUAUUAAUUUUGGAGAUUAAUGAUAUAGAAAAUUCUAUUUUUUUGA
rnacentral:tRNA from 1 species